GGUUUCUUUAUCCCUAUUCAUCCGUUGACGUCUAGUCGUGGUUUCUCUUCCUAUUCAUCGGCUUUCGAUGUCUAGUCGUGGUUCCUUUCUCCCAUUCAUCUGUUGAUGUCUGGUUGAGUCUCUCCUUUUCGUCCGUUGACGUCUACUCGUGGUUUCUUUAUCCCUAUUUGUCCGUUGACGUCUAGUCAUGGUUUCUUUAUCCCUAUUCGUCCGUUGACGUCUAGUCGUGGUUUCUCUUCCUAUUCAUCGGCUUUCUAUGUCUAGUCGUGGUUCCUUUCUCCCAUUCAUCUGUUGAUGUCUGGUUGAGUCUCUCCCUAUUCGUCCGUUGACGUCUAGUCGUGGUUUGUCUUCCUAUUCAUCGGCUUUAGAUGUCUAGUC
rnacentral:lncRNA from 1 species